CCAAGGCUUCGAUCAGUAGCUGGUCUGAGAGGACGACCAGCCACACUGGAACUGAGACACGGUCCAGACUCCUACGGGAGGCAGCAGUGGGGAAUUUUGGACAAUGGGCGCAAGCCUGAUCCAGCCAUUCCGCGUGAGUGAAGAAGGCCUUCGGGUUGUAAAGCUCUUUCGCAAGGGAAGAAAACUUACUUUCUAAUAAAGAGUGAGGCUGACGGUACCUUGAUAAGAAGCACCGGCUAACUACGUGCCAGCAGCCGCGGUAAUACGUAGGGUGCGAGCGUUAAUCGGAAUUACUGGGCGUAAAGCGUGCGCAGGCGGUUUGGCAAGUCAGAUGUGAAAUCCCCGAGCUCAACUUGGGAACUGCGUUUGAAACUGCCAGACUAGAAUAUGUCAGAGGGGGGUAGAAUUCCACGUGUAGCAGUGAAAUGCGUAGAGAUGUGGAGGNAAUACCAAUGGCGAAGGCAGCCCCCUGGGAUAAUAUUGACGCUCAUGCACGAAAGCGUGGGGAGCAAACAGGAUUAGAUACCCUGGUAGUCCACGCCCUAAACGAUGUCUACUAGUUGUUGGUGGAGUAAAAUCCAUGAGUAACGCAGCUAACGCGUGAAGUAGACCGCCUGGGGANGUACGGUCGCAAGAUNUNANAANAANUCAAAGGAAUUGACGGGGGCCCGCACAAGCGGUGGAUUAUGUGGAUUAAUUCGAUGCAACGCGAAAAACCUUACCUGGCCUUGACAUGCCACUAACGAAGCAGAGAUGCAUUAGGUGCCCGCAAGGGAAAGUGGACACAGGUGCUGCAUGGCUGUCGUCUGCUCGUGUCGUGAGAUGUUGGGUUAAGUCCCGCAACGAGCGCAACCCUUGCCAUUAAUUGCCAUCAUUUAGUUGGGCACUUUAAUGGGACUGCCGGUGACAAACCGGAGGAAGGUGGGGAUGACGUCGAGUCCUCAUGGCCCCUUAUGGCCAGGGCUUCACACGUAAUACAAUGGUCGGUACAGAGAGUUGCCAACCCGCGAGGGGGAGCUAAUCUCAGAAAGCCGAUCGUAGUCCGGAUUGUUUCUCUGCACUCGAGAGCAUGAAGUUCGGA
rnacentral:rRNA from 1 species